rnacentral:rRNA from 1 species
GACGAACGCUGGCGGCGUGCUUAACACAUGCAAGUCGAGCGGAAAACUUCGGUUUUCAGCGGCGGACGGGCGAGUAACACGUGGGCAACCUGCCUCACAAUGAGGGAUAGCCUUCCGAAAGGAAGAUUAAUACCUCAUAACACAAGAGAAACGCAUGUUUCUCUUGCCAAAGAAUUUCGUUGUGAGAUGGGCCCGCGGCGCAUUAGCUUGUUGGUGAGGUAACGGCUCACCAAGGCUUCGAUGCGUAGCCGACCUGAGAGGGUGAUCGGCCACAUUGGAACUGAGACACGGUCCAGACUCCUACGGGAGGCAGCAGUGGGGAAUAUUGCACAAUGGAGGAAACUCUGAUGCAGCAACGCCGCGUGAGUGAUGAAGGUCUUCGGAUUGUAAAACUCUGUCUUCUGGGACGAUAAUGACGGUACCAGAGGAGGAAGCCACGGCUAACUACGUGCCAGCAGCCGCGGUAA